UGGGGAAUAUUGGACAAUGGGCGCAAGCCUGAUCCAGCAAUGCCGCGUGUGUGAAGAAGGCCUGCGGGUUGUAAAGCACUUUCGGUGGGGAGAAAGAGGCCAUUAUUAAUAGUGAUGGCGGAUGAUGUUACCCACAGAAGAAGCACCGGCUAACUCUGUGCCAGCAGCCGCGGUAAUACAGAGGGUGCGAGCGUUAAUCGGAAUUACUGGGCGUAAAGGGUGCGUAGGUGGUUACUUAAGUUAGGUGUGAAAGUCCUGGGCUUAACCUGGGGAUUGCGCCUGAUACUGAGUAGCUAGAGUAUUGUAGAGGAAAGCGGAAUUUCCGGUGUAGCGGUGAAAUGCGUAGAUAUCGGAAGGAACAUCGGUGGCGAAGGCGGCUUUCUGGACAAAUACUGACACUGAGGCACGAAAGCGUGGGGAGCAAACAGGAUUAGAUACCCCUGUAGUCC
rnacentral:rRNA from 1 species